CCCAGAAGACCUCUCUGUCCUGUAGCACCUGCCAUGAGCAUCAGGCUCCUGUGCUGUGUGGCCUUUUCUCUCCUGUGUGCAGGUCCAGUGAUUGCUGGGAUCACCCAGGCCCCAAGAUCUCAGAUCCUGGCAGCAGGACGGAGCGUGACACUGAGAUGUACCCAGGAUAUGAGACAUAAUGCCAUGUACUGGUAUAGACAAGAUUUAGGACUGGGGCUAAGGCUCAUCCAUUACUCAAAUACUGCAGGUACCAUUGGCAAAGGAGAAGUCCCUGAUGGUUAUAGUGUCUCCAGAGCAAACACAGAUGAUUUCCCCCUCACGUUGGUGUCUGCUGUACCCUCUCAGACAUCUGUGUACUUCUGUGCCAGCAGUGACUCCACACUUCCAACAAGAAAUUCAUAUUUCACUUUCUUUUCAGGGGAGAAGAAAAAAGCAGAAAGCAGCUGGAAAGCUUUGGCCUGCUUGAGUGAUCUGGGAUUCUCACAUAGCACACAAAACAUCACCUUGGCUUUGGACAGGGAGGGGAGCACUGGACCUCAGGAAGCCUUCAGGGGGAGGACACAGGACAGUGACAUCACAGGAUACCCCUCCCAUCAGGAAAAUCAAGGCCCAGAACUCACUCGGCUCUUCCCCAGGAGGACCAAGCCCUGA